GUAAAAAUUAGUUAAUAAAUAACAUUAGCUUGUCAAGCUAAAAUAAUCCCGCAGAUAUUUUUA
rnacentral:tRNA from 1 species